UUUAAUUGAAGAGUUUGAUCAUGGCUCAGAUUGAACGCUGGCGGCAGGCCUAACACAUGCAAGUCGAGCGGUAACAGAUUGAUA
rnacentral:rRNA from 2 species